CGACCGCUGGCGGCGUGCUUAAUACAUGCAAGUCGAACGGAAAGGCCCUGCUUUUGUGGGGUGCUCGAGUGGCGAACGGGUGAGUAACACGUGAGUAACCUGCCCUUGACUUUGGGAUAACUUCAGGAAACUGGGGCUAAUACCGGAUAGGAGCUCCUGCUGCAUGGUGGGGGUUGGAAAGUUUCGGCGGUUGGGGAUGGACUCGCGGCUUAUCAGCUUGUUGGUGGGGUAGUGGCUUACCAAGGCUUUGACGGGUAGCCGGCCUGAGAGGGUGACCGGCCACAUUGGGACUGAGAUACGGCCCAGACUCCUACGGGAGGCAGCAGUGGGGAAUAUUGCACAAUGGGCGGAAGCCUGAUGCAGCAACGCCGCGUGCGGGAUGACGGCCUUCGGGUUGUAAACCGCUUUCGCCUGUGACGAAGCGUGAGUGACGGUAAUGGGUAAAGAAGCGCCGGCUAACUACGUG
rnacentral:rRNA from 1 species